CUUCCCUGGAGCGUCACGCGACACCCAUGGGGUAGAACCAGCUGACUGUGGUCUCUGUCCAUGUGCUCCCUCGGAGUCUGAUUUGGCUCUCUUAUGGUGGCCCCCACUGGUCAACAAACUGGGAAGAACGACCGCACAAAAGCAGCUUUGCCUGGGGAGACCGUGCGGGGACCCACAACGUGACCUGCUCAGGAAGGGUAAAGCCAGUUCAUCACUGCUGUAGUGGAAGUUGAUCACUAGGCAGAUUCCAGUUGCAGCAGCAAGAACCAGCUCAGCAAAACUCGCCUGCUACAAAUACGCUCUCAGUCCGGCUGCCCGGGCCUCCUGGAAGCAGCCGAGUGUACGUUUCUGUCCGCCGCGUCAGGCGGUAGGUAGGUAGACUGAUGAUGGACCUUAUCAAAUGGGAGCGCCGAGUCGCUGCGAUCUUGUGCCCGGAAAGCACUUUUAACACUGCACGCUGGUGGUGUCAUCUUUUCUACAGUAACAGCAAAUGGGAUGGUGCAUGUAAAAAAAAAAAAAAAAUCUGUGUCCGCAGAUGACUACUUUCAUUUAUUAGCACCCGUGAUGCAACGCUGCACCGCAUUGCACUGCAAUCACUAAAUUCCGACUUCGUAAAGUUGCUCCAAAUUGUACGCAAGUGUGAACCGUUUGCGGACGGGCGUUACUGCAAAUCUGUGUUAUUUUUUUUC